CUUUGUUGUGAGGAAUGCCGCAUGGACCGAAGCCAUGCGCUCCACAUCUAGACGGUGAUUUGGACGCUAUGCUUCGGACCAGGCUUCAUUCCCCUCAGCACAG
rnacentral:pre_miRNA from 1 species